GUGCUCGCUUCAGCAGCACAUAUACUAAAAUUGGAACGAUAUAGAGAAGAUUAGCAUGGCCCCUGCGCAAGGAUGACACGCAAAUUUGUGAAGCGUUCCAUAUUAAA
ensembl:snRNA U6 U6 spliceosomal RNA